rnacentral:rRNA from 1 species
UCGGGAAUUUUGGGCAAUGGGCGAAAGCCUGACCCAGCAACGCCGCGUGAGGGAUGAAGUAUUUCGGUAUGUAAACCUCGAAAGAAUGGGAAGAAUAAAUGACGGUACCAUUUAUAAGCUCCGGCUAACUACGUGCCAGCAGCCUCGGUAAUACGUAGGGAGCAAGCGUUGUUCGGAUUUACUGGGCGUAAAGGGCGCGUAGGCGGCGCGGUAAGUCACUUGUGAAAUCUCUGAGCUUAACUCAGAACGGCCAAGUGAUACUGCUGUGCUAGAGUGCGGAAGAGGCAACCGGAAUUCUUGGUGUAGCGGUGAAAUGCGUAGAUAUCAAGAGGAACACCUGAGGCGAAGGCGGGUUGCUGGCCGACACUGACGCUGAUGCGCGAAAGCCAGGGGAGCAAACG